UGUUGUUUCCUAGCAUUCCAUACUUUGAUAGGCUCAUAAUUUGACAUGUAGACCGAUUUUCUUCAAGCUCAUACCAUUGAGAUACAGACCAUACGGCAGCAUUUUACAACCAAAGGCCCCCUGGCUGUUGCAAAACUACAACUCCCAGCAUUCUAAGAGUUGCAGUUUUGCAACAGACGGAGGCACCCUAGUUGCGAAACACCGCAAAACGGAGAUACAGUGACACAUGAGAGAUCCGCACCUGUGAUCUAUACAGUUAUCAUCAGAUGUAAUUGUAGGAGGAAACAGGAAAUAAGAUAAAUUCUUAUUACUGAGAAAGUUUUAUCAUUUAAAGACACAGUCACACGGACACAGCCUUAAGUUUUGCUUCUGUUUAUUAUUUUACAGUAAUGAAUCAUUCAUAAGUAAUAUCUAUAAAAAAUAAAAUCACACGAGAAUGUACAGAAUCCUGAUACUUGUAGGUCUCAAUGUUAUACCAGGUUUGUCUAAAGACUUUCAGAUAUCUCAGGACCCAAAAUUGUUAAUAAAGAAGACGGGAGAACGUGUAGACCUCCAUUGUCAGCACCAUGAUAACACCUACCUUUCUAUGUAUUGGUACCAACAGAAGCCACAACAGGGUCUGAAGCUCAUGGUCUACUCAACCGGAGCAGUGGGUGACCAAACUAUGGAAACUGAUUUCAAGGACUGGACUCUCCGAAGACCUGAAAACACCAAAUCUGCAUUGAAUAUAUCUCAGCCUAAAGCCCAGGACUCUGCUGUGUAUUAUUGUGCAGCCGGUGAUCACAGUUACAUGAGUCAGUGCAGGAGCCAGUAUAAAACCUACACGGGAGCUCUCUGAAAAGUAUUCUAAAUUUUGGCCAUAGAGGGCGCUAUAUAAGUAUCAUAUCUUGUCUCUUAUAUUGUUAUAAAGUCCAGAUAGAACACAUUAAUGUUUUGCAUUUAGAUAUUGCUGUUUAGAGA